CGCGGUGGCACAAUCUGGUACUGCGCAGGACUGGAAAUCCUGUUUCCUUCGGGAUAUCCCGGUUCAAAUCCGGGCCGCGG
rnacentral:tRNA from 1 species